rnacentral:rRNA from 1 species
GGGCCCGCACAAGCGGUGGAGCAUGUGGUUUAAUUCGAUGCAACGCGAAGAACCUUACCAGGGUUUGACAUCCUGCGAAUCUCUUGGAAACGAGAGAGUGCCUUCGGGAACGCAGUGACAGGUGGUGCAUGGCUGUCGUCAGCUCGUGUCGUGAGAUGUUGGGUUAAGUCCCGCAACGAGCGCAACCCACGUCUUUAGUUGCCAGCAUUUAGUUGGGCACUCUAGAGAGACCGCCGGUGAUAAACCGGAGGAAGGUGUGGAUGACGUCAAGUCAUCAUGCCCCUUACGGGUAGGGCUACACACGUGCUACAAUGGCAGUGACAAUGGGAUAAUCCCCAAAAACUGUCUCAGUUCGGAUUGUCGUCUGCAACUCGACGGCAUGAAGGUGGAAUCGCUAGUAAUCG